CAAAAGGAUUUGCCCUACAAACAUAAGUCAUCAGUUCCAGAGAGAAAAGUGGCGUUUACCUGUACACCUAGUCACUUAUAUUGUGUCAGAAAAGCAGGAUCCUUAUUACCUCCCAGGUGGAUGAGUACUUGGUGGAGUGAACAUGUAAAGUUAAUGAGUUCAUCAUGCUCUCAUUACAAUGUGAGGUUAUUCUUCUAGCGCAC